rnacentral:lncRNA from 1 species
UGAUUUCUUUCAUCUCUUAAUUGUAAAGUCAUAAAAAGGCAUGUUGUAUACUUUUAUUAACUAAUUUAUGAGGAUCUGAAAAGCUGGAGGAGUAAAGGGCAAACAUAAACGGUUCAAAACUUAAGGAAAUUCAUUUCUUUGUGUAUUUUGAGGUCCUAAAAUAUGCUUUGUGCAACUUGCGCUUGCAAAUCUAUUGUGUUUCAAGACUCAGUUUUUUUUUCUUUUUCUUUUUUCUCUGCGGAUACAAUUUCUCUUGGCAUCAGAGAACCUGUUUAUGAGGUGAUCCACUCAAGCUGACAACUUGGUCUAUUCUUUUUCCUUUUCCCGUAUUUCUGGCCGAAUUAAAGGACUUCUAUGCUUCCAGAUUUCAUUUUUAAGUUAAGGAUUCUGUGUACUGAGUUCAUUCUUGGUAGGCAUACAAGAAAUUCGAUUGAUCUUGGUCGUGAAUAUUGGACAGAGUAUCCCAUAAAGUACCAUAUGCAAUUUUCAAUUAGGGCUUUUGUUGUGCUUUUCACUUAUGAGUACUGUCAGAAGUACUCAGUUAUAAAAAACACUCUUUGAGUACUGUCAGAAGUAAAACUGACCCAAGAGAGAAAUAAAUCUAGUACUAAUCUAAUUAUUUCUUUUGUUUCUUCAUUGCAAGAUUUCCGAUAAUGUUAGUAUGAUAUAGUACUAUUAUAAAAGUUUUAAGCUUAAAUAUUGUCAAUGAAUUUGCCAUUUGACACCUAGAAUCAUGUGUUACUUGAUUUUGUGACACAGUGGAGUCAUUGCAUGCCAUUUUAUAUGAGUCAUUACUUCUCCUGCCAAAACUGAUUAUUACUAAUUGAACUGUGUUCAAUUAUGUUUUUUUUUUAAAAAAUCAUUUUGGUUUGAAGCUUUGAUGCUGAUGUUAUUGCAUUAUUCUGCACUGUGCUCAAUUUCCA